rnacentral:rRNA from 1 species
AUUGAACGCUGGCGGCAGGCUUAACACAUGCAAGUCGAGCGAGCGGGGGACGGGUGAGAAUGGUAUGGGGACUGCCCGCUGGAGGGGGGUAACAACUGGAAACGGUGGCUACUACCGCAUACUGUCGGCUGUCCACUAUGGGAUAAGCUAGUAGUGAAGUUAAUGGCUUACCUAGGCGACGAUCCCUGGCUGGUCUGAGAGGAUGAUCAGCCACACUGGAACUGAGACACGGCCCAGACUCCUACGGAGGCAGCAGUGGGGAAUAUUGCACAAUGGGCGCAAGCCUGAUGCAGCCAUGCCGCGUGUAUGAAGAAGGCCCUAGGGUUGUAAAGUACUUUCAGUCGGGAGGCGUUACCGACAGAAGAAGCACCGGCUAACUCCGUGCCAGCAGCCGCGGUAAUAC